rnacentral:rRNA from 1 species
GUUAGGAAUAUUGGACAAUGGACGCAAGUCUGAUCCAGCCAUGCCGCGUGAGUGAUGAAGGCCUUCGGGUUGUAAAGCUCUUUAGCCGAUGAUUAUAAUGACUGUAGUCGGAAAAUAAGCCCCGGCUAACUUCGUGCCAGCAGCCGCGGUAAUACGAAGGGGGCGAGCGUUAUUCGGAAUCACUGGGCGUAAAGCGUGCGUAGGCGGUUUUGUAAGUUGGGAGUGAAAGCCCAGGGCUCAACCCUGGAAUUGCUCUCAAAACUACAAGACUUGAAUUCGGGAGAGGAUAGCGGAAUUGUCAGUGUAGCAGUGAAAUGCGUAGAUAUUGACAGGAACACCAGUGGCGUAAGCGGCUAUCUGGACCGAUAUUGACGCUGAGGCACGAAAGCGUGGGGAUCAAACAGGAUUAGAUACCCGUGUAGUCC